GGCGGGCAACCAGGCUUCUCCAAUGCGUCACAUACGGAAACUGGAACCGAACGAUGUACGGAAAUUGGAUCCGAAUGAUGUAAUGAAACUGGAACCGAAUGAUGUAAUGAAACUGGAACCGAACUUCCAGCGCCCCCUCCCCUUUCCUAGAUACUUUGCUUUCCAAAUCCCCAUUUUUAUCCAUAUUUCACACUUUCAGUGGUUUUCAGGGAAUUUAGUCACCUGGCUCACGCAGGGUU